rnacentral:misc_RNA from 1 species
AACCUAGCACACCUGCGGUGUGUACCUGCGGAGGGAUCAUUAACGUAUCUCUGACGGGGCGCCGUCCGCCCUGCUCCGGUCCCAUCGGGCCGUGCAGCGGGUGGGCCCGCUUCCGCUCAAACCUCACAAACCCACUGUGAACCUUCACGGCGGAGGGGGCUCGGUCUGUGCCGUGUCCCCGAGGCCGCAUACCAAACUCCAGUUGCAAAGAAUGUCGUGCGGACGUCGCGCCGCCUAAAA